GACUUCUCAAAAAGUUCAAGAGCAAGUUCUGCAAAAAAAAGUAGACAACAAAAAUGACAAUGUGGUUUUGAGCUAUCUGCUUCGUUGAGCGCUUCCAUUAGAAGAAACAUGCAUAACAUUACAAGACCAUACCAUGUAUGCUUGGUUUCCACCACCAACCACAAACCCAAAGUCUUCCUUCAAGUCAAGCAGGACACGUCUUAUCAAACCACAGCAGUCCAGGAACAAAGGGGAGUCGUAAUGAGGUGCUAUGACACAAAUAUUCCACUUCAAAAUAUGCCUUUUACAAACAGACACCUAAUACUAGUUCGACAGUGGGACCUUGAUGAAUCAAACUGACCAAUUGAGCUUCCAGC